rnacentral:rRNA from 1 species
AGCGAACGCUGGCGGCAGGCUUAACACAUGCAAGUCGAGCGGGCAUCCUUGUGGUGUCAGCGGCAGACGGGUGAGUAACGCGUGGGAACGUGCCCUUCGGUUCGGAAUAACUCAGGGAAACUUGAGCUAAUACCGGAUACGUGCGAGAGCAGAAAGGUUUAUCUGCCGAAGGAUCGGCCCGCGUCUGAUUAGCUAGUUGGUGAGGUUACGGCUCACCAAGGCGACGAUCAGUAGCUGGUCUGAGAGGAUGAUCAGCCACACUGGGACUGAGACACGGCCCAGACUCCUACGGGAAGCAGCAGUGGGGAAUAUUGGACAAUGGGGGCAACCCUGAUCCAGCCAUGCCGCGUGAGUGAUGACGGCCUUAGGAUUGUAAAGCUCUUUUCUCCGGGACGAUAAUGACGGUACCGGAGGAAUAAGCCCCGGCUAACUUCGUG